GACAGAGGGUGCAAACGUUGUUCGGAAUUACUGGGCGUAAAGCGUGUGUAGGCGGCUAUGUAAGUCGGAUGUGAAAGCCCCGGGCUCAACCCCGGGAAGUGCACUCGAUACUGCGUAGCUUGAGUACUGGAGAGGAUGGCGGAAUUCCCCAAGUAGAGGUGAAAUUCGUAGAUAUGGGGAGGAACACCGGUGGCGAAGGCGGCCAUCUGGACGGAUACUGACGCUGAGACGCGAAAGCGUGGGGAGCAAACAGG
rnacentral:rRNA from 1 species